UACGAAGGGGGCUAGCGUUGCUCAGAAUCACUGGGCGUAAAGGGUGCGUAGGCGGGUCUUUAAGUCAGGGGUGAAAUCCUGGAGCUCAACUCCGGAACUGCCUUUGAUACUGAAGAUCUUGAGUUCGGGAGAGGUGAGUGGAACUGCGAGUGUAGAGGUGAAAUUCGUAGAUAUUCGCAAGAACACCAGUGGCGAAGGCGGCUCACUGGCCCGAUACUGACGCUGAGGCACGAAAGCGUGGGGAGCAAACAGG
rnacentral:rRNA from 1 species